rnacentral:rRNA from 1 species
UACGUAGGGUGCAAGCGUUAAUCGGAAUUACUGGGCGUAAAGCGCGCGUAGGCGGACCUGCAAGUCGGGGGUGAAAGCCCGAGGCUCAACCUCGGAACUGCCUUCGAUACUGCGGGUCUCGAGUCCGGGAGAGGUGAGUGGAAUUCCUAGUGUAGAGGUGAAAUUCGUAGAUAUUAGGAAGAACACCAGUGGCGAAGGCGGCUCAGCUGGCCCGGUACUGACGGCUGAGGCGACGAAAGCGUGGGGAGCAAACAGG